GCCACUGUGGCGGAGUGGUCUAACGCGCCGGCCUUAAGUUGUCUAAAACGUAAAUCUUAAAUCCGGUUCUUAGGAGCGUGAGUUCGAACCUCACCGGUGGCA